GUCCAGGGAUGUGAAUCGAACCCACAAUGUUCCGCUUACCGGGCAGAUGCCAUGUCCACUAGGCUACCCUGGA
rnacentral:tRNA from 1 species